rnacentral:rRNA from 1 species
AGCGAACGCUGGCGGCAGGCCUAAUACAUGCAAGUCGAACGAGACCUUCGGGUCUAGUGGCGCACGGGUGCGUAACGCGUGGGAAUCUGCCCUUGGGUUCGGAAUAACGUCGGGAAACUGACGCUAAUACCGGAUGAUGACGUAAGUCCAAAGAUUUAUCGCCCAGGGAUGAGCCCGCGUAGGAUUAGCUAGUUGGUGGGGUAAAGGCCUACCAAGGCGACGAUCCUUAGCUGGUCUGAGAGGAUGAUCAGCCACACUGGGACUGAGACACGGCCCAGACUCCUACGGGAGGCAGCAGUAGGGAAUAUUGGACAAUGGGCGAAAGCCUGAUCCAGCAAUGCCGCGUGAGUGAUGAAGGCCUUAGGGUUGUAAAGCUCUUUUACCCGGGAUGAUAAUGACAGUACCGGGAGAAUAAGCUCCGGCUAACUCCGUGCCAGCCGCCGCGGUAACAC